UGAACAUGGUCCAGGGAGGGACUGCGCAGGAGGCCAGAACUCACGUUCCCCGGGCAGGUCCUGCUGGCUGUCCUCUGGCUGCUGAGAGACCCCCACCUUGG